CGUGUCACAAGAGACCCCCAGACCACAGCCUUCCAGAAGCCUCCAUCUACACACCGUGUCACAAGAGACCCUCACACUACAGCCUUCCAGAAGCCUCCAUCUACAUACCAUGUCACAGGAGACCCUCAGACCGCAGCCUUCCAGAAGCCUCCAUCUACACACCAUGUCACAAGAGACCCUCAGACUACAGCCUUCCAGAAGCCUCCAUCUACAUACCAUGUCACAGGAGACUCUCAGGCUGCAGCCUCCCAGAAGCCUCCUGAGGAAAGCAGGGCUUCAUCUGAAGACAGGUCACUGGCACUAAGCUUACUUGUUUUUUUGAGACAGGGUCUCUGUCUGUCGCCCAGGCUGGAGAAUAGUGGUGUGAUCACGGCUCACUGUAGCCUCGACCUCCUCAGGCUCAGGUGAUUCUCCUACCUCAGCCUCCCCAGUAGCAGGGACUACAGGUGCUCACCACCAUACUCAGCUAAUUUUGUAUUUUUUGUAGAGACGGGGUUUCACCAUGUUGCCCAAGCUGGUCUCAAACUCCUGAGCUCAAGCCAUCCACCCACCUCGGCCUCCCCAAAUCCUGGGAUUACAGAUGCGAACUACCGUGCUGGGCCUAAUCUUACUGUUUUAAUGUAAAAAUGGACAGUCUUGAGGAAGACAGAUUGGAAAGCAGAGAGACACAGUGUGAAAUCGCUGCUCUCAGAUCAGCACACGGGAGAGGCCAGCAGUCAGGAGGGGGCUCACCGAGUUUGUCUGCACUCGCUCCCUCCGCAGCCGCCCUCUCCAGCUGGAAGAAGUCGUAAUCGAACCUGCUCAGGUCCUCACUGCCCCACUCCGAAGGAAACCCCACGUACAGGUGAGGUCAGAGGAGUGAAGUGACUUGCCCAAGACCACACAGUGAGUCAGGAGCAGGCCUGUCCCUCCAGCAGUGGUGCCAUGUUGUCCCCAAGCCAUGGUGGCAGAGGAGCUGGUGUGAACGCCCCAUCCUGCCACGUCUGUGAUGUGGGCACCUCACAUGACUGUCCCCUCCCAGCUCUUGGGGGGGACCUAGGACAUUCUGUGAGCCUGCAGGAAAGUUUACCAAAUGCUGCAGCUUUGUCCUGGUGGUGAUGGGCACCCCGUUAACGGCAACCUUGCAUUUGCUAUGUGGAGUGACCGUCACUUUACCGUCGGCAUUUGUGAAGGAAGCGUGUUUAUCUGAAAUUCUAAGAAGAUGAGAGUCAAAGACACCCAGCAAACGGCGGUUUCCGUGAGCAGGUAGGCUGACCUUUCUCAUGUGCACAGGAGGGAAGGUCUACAGCUGCGGAGGAUGGCAGGUGGCAUCUCGGGGCCUCCUGUGUGCUGUGGCCCAUGAUGCAUGGGGACAGCAGCGGGCGCAGAAGGACCCUGCCCUUGGGGAGCACGGGGAGCUGGGAGACAGCAGGCAAGGGCUUCAUUAACAGAACGAACACCAGCUGAGGGCCUAGCACUGCGGGGAGCCGGCCAAGGCCACACUGGAGUCCUCCCGCUCCCAGGCCAGCGGGAUGGGGUGGUGGGAAGAUGGCAGCAAGCAAGCUUCAGAAGAGACGCUCAGGAGGCGACUCUUAACGAGCCUCACCUACUCCGGGUACGUUUUGAUCUGUUUCUGCGCCCUCGCCGUAUAAAUUCAGACCUUAUAGGAUUUGGGGCUGGACGUCGGGGUGUCAGGUUGGCAUCCCCUCUCCCCGCCCUGCUCCCCUGCACCGAUGUCAUCUGUGUGUCCUGAAUGACUGGCUCCCUGCCUUAGCAUGUUCCAUGUUCCUGCACUCCUUGGCCAUCAUGGAAUGUUCUGGAUGUGGAGACCCGUGUGCAUCCAAACCCUUUUUUGCAUGGGGCCCAGGGAUCCUGUGGGAAAGGUUGCGGCCUCAUCACUGGAGUUCAGACAUUUACGCACCUGUGCGUUGGACUAAGGACGUGUUCUGGAAAGGGACUUGAGGGGGAUCCCCAGGAAGAUGUCCCAAGAAGGAGGCUGGCAGUGCAGGACGAGGCGGGGCCAGCCGGCCCCUGGGUCAGCACCCCUCCAGCCACGACGGCCCGUGGGCUUUCGUACGGGGGCAGGGGGUGAUCUGUCUGAAGGAUGUAGGUGAUGGUGCUUCCCAGCUGGAGAGCUGGAAGCAGGAGGAGGACACUCCAGCAGCAGCCUCCCAGGCAGGGCAGCCACAGAGCUGGGGACAGCUCUUGACUGGGUGAGGCCCGGCAUGGGGUUUCCCAGGGCUCCUGCGGGGCCUCCUGAGGGAGCCCUUGGGGUCACUCCACAGUCUGGGCUUUCUGUAGUCCGGUGGGUCAGGGCUCCAAGCACCAGGAGAGAUCCAGGGAUGCGCUUAUGUUUGGGCCACCCCCGGUGGGCUUGUUCGUUCAGCCCCCUUCGUUUCCUGGCCUGCUCUACUUAUAUCUGUUUGUGAAGAAUUAUUACACAGAAUCUAGAAACCAGCUUUCCCUUUUCUCCCAGGGUUGGAGCCCAGGAAGCAAACCAGCACUGCACCCUAGAUUUCAGCCAGAGGACGAAAGCCCUGCCCUCAGCUUUCUCAGACCAGCCCUGGAGUAGGUGGCCCGGGGAGACCUGGGCAGUGUCCCUGCUUGUCCUGCAGACUGUGUGGCUCUGCAGACCUCUAGAUGGAGGAGGCACAAUUCUCUAAUGCUGGACGAGGACACUGAUCAUGGAAACUCACCCCAAACCUUGAAUCGUGAUAGCAUUUGAGGCAGCCUGACCGGUGCCACAUGAACCUGAAAGGAAUCAAGAUAUAAUUUAUUUUGAAAAUAAAUCAGA
rnacentral:lncRNA from 1 species